UAUAGGUUGCCUAUAUGGUUGUACCAAACAUGAAUGUUAUGGAAGGAGUAUGUAUCAAACUGGAAAACAAUGCAGCCCUACACACUAGAAUUUUUAUGAUAAAUCUUUACAUUUUCCACUGAUGGAAUGCUGACCGUCAGCAACGCAUUACGGUUGGAACGCUAACCUUAGGCUGGACCCAGGGCAGUGCCCCUAGCUGUCCCCCAAGAUCUACCUCAGCUCUCUCUGCUGAGUGCCGGCAUAUGACAUCAUAUCCUGUCACUCCACUUGAAUAGGUACCUCUGUAGUUGCCACACUUGUGACAUUAAUCGCCCAGUUGGGAGAUCUGGCCCCCGUUUUGCAGCAGAGGGUCUGCCAUCCUAGGCCCAGCUGUCCUAGUUUACACCCCACACCUUGCAGUUAAUUGGGCAGGCAAUUUUUUAAACAUUCUGGAAUCUUGAGUGUGUUGCAGGAUAAUUCUGUAAUACCUUACAUUAGCCUUUGUAUCGCCAAGUAUUUCAAUGACCUCUUUAGUUCACCUCAUGUCUGCAACAAACUGAUGCCAUUAAAUGUCACAUUGAAUGUUAGUUUGUAUCUGUCACACACCUCUCUACCAGCAGAGGGCAGCGUACCCACAUUAUUGUGCUGUGAAAUCCGACUAACCCGUCCUGUGAUAUACAGUAUAGUACAUACCGGAAGAGAAUUAACUUGUUCGUUUUCAUGGUGCUAUGUAUAUGGUCUGCUCAAACUGUACGAUUUAACAAAUAUCCUCAUCUUUAAAUGUCUGUGUAAUGUAUAGUGACCAACAUCAAAGAUGGUCAAAUAAAGGCAUCUGCGUACAA